rnacentral:rRNA from 1 species
GAUGAACGCUGGCGGCGUGCCUAAUACAUGCAAGUCGAGCGAAUGGAUUAAGAGCUUGCUCUUAUGAAGUUAGCGGCGGACGGGUGAGUAACACGUGGGUAACCUGCCCAUAAGACUGGGAUAACUCCGGGAAACCGGGGCUAAUACCGGAUAAUAUUUUGAACUGCAUGGUUCAAAAUUGAAAGGCGGCUUCGGCUGUCACUUAUGGAUGGACCCGGGUCGCAUUAGCUAGUUGGUGAGGUAACGGCUAACCAAGGCAACGAUGCGUAGCCGACCUGAGAGGGUGAUCGGCGACACUGGGACUGGGACACGGCCCAGACUCCUACGGGAGGCAGCAGUAGGGAAUCUUCCGCAAUGGACGAAAGUCUGACGGAGCAACGCCGCGUGAGUGGUGAAGGCUUUCGGGUCGUAAAACUCUGUUGUUAGGGAAGAACAAGUGCUAGUUGAAUAAGCUGGCACCUUGACGGUACCUAACCAGAAAGCCACGGCUAACUACGUGCCAGCCGCCGCAGUAA